rnacentral:rRNA from 1 species
AUUGGCGGGGGAGUACCACAACCGGUGGAGCCUGCGGUUUUAAUUGGAUACAACGCCGGGAAUCUUACCGGAGGGGACAGCAGUAUGAAGGCCAGGCUAAAGACCUUGCCAGAUCAGCUGAGAGGAGGUGCAUGGCCGUCGCCAGUUCGUACCGUGAGGCAUCCUGUUUAGUCAGGCAACGAUCGAGACCCGCAGUCUUAUUUGCCAGCAUGCCCUUUGGGGUGUAUGGGUACAAUAAGACGACCGCCAGCGCUAAGCUGGAGGAAGGAGCGGGCUGCGGUAGGUCAGCAUGCCCCGAAUCCUCCGGGAUACACGCGGGCUACAAUGGUCAGGACAAAAGGUACCGACCUCGAAAGAGUGAGGUAAUCCACAAACCUGAUCUCAGUCCGGAUCGAAGGCUGCAACUCGCCUUCGUGAAGAUGGAAUCGGUAGUAAUCGUGACUCAAAAUGUCACGGUGAAUAUGUCCCUGCUCCU